AUGAACGCUAGCUACAGGCUUAACACAUGCAAGUCGAGGGGAAACGAUGAGAGAGCUUGCUCUCUUAGUCGUCGACCGGCGCACGGGUGAGUAACGCGUAUCCAACCUGCCUCUGACCAAGGGAUAACCCGUCGAAAGUCGGACUAAUACCUUAUGCAGUCGUCGGAAGUCAUCUGAUGACGACGAAAGAUUUCAUCGGUGAGAGAUGGGGAUGCGUCUGAUUAGCUUGUUGGCGGGGUAACGGCCCACCAAGGCGACGAUCAGUAGGGGUUCUGAGAGGAAGGUCCCCCACAUUGGAACUGAGACACAGUCCAAACUCCUACGGGAGGCAGCAGUGAGGAAUAUUGGGCAAUGGGCGUAAGCCUGAACCAGCCAAGUAGCGUGCAGGAUGACGGCCCUAUGGGUUGUAAACUGCUUUUAUGCGGGGAUAAAGUGAGGGACGUGUCCUUCAUUGCAGGUACCGCAUGAAUAAGGACCGGCUAAUUCCGUG
rnacentral:rRNA from 1 species